CAGAGGAGCAACAACUAAUCAUUAUGGAACAAGGAGAGGUCACAGAAGACUGCCAAGUAUUUUCAGCUGCUUUAAUUCCCUCCAUUAUGAUAAUACUCUGGAGAACCUCCCUCUUCAUCCCUAUCCAAGCUGUAGAGUAAGGACUGGACUCACCUCCAGCUCCAGGGAGAGUUUGCACAACUAGCAAACUCCAAACCCAGGCUGCCAGCCUCAGCGUUAGAGCAGAUGACAUGGAAGCUCCUCUGGGAAGGAACAACAAAAAGCAUCCCCUACCUACCAUGGGUCCUCCUGCCUGGUUCCUGACCCUACAGAAGGCCCAUGACUGAAAGAUGGAUGAAGACCAUGGAUAUGCAGACUGCAGGGACUCUGGCUCCUCCAAAGCAAAAUCAAUGCUCAGCUCAAGCAUCAUCCACAAGCGGCUGUCGUCUGGGGCUUGAAAGACAGUAAAAAUGAAUCUGUGACAAGAGGCAGGUUUAUCUUCAAGGCCGAGGGUGAGACUGAAGAUACAGACCAGAUGGGCUCUGGAUGGGUAGCCCUUCAACGAAGAUGGCUAAUCAAGUCAGGCUUAUGGUGUGCCCAGAAAUGGCAAGGAUUUCCAAGGGUGAGCACUGACAGCACUGCCUGGUUCAUUCCGCCUAUCUUUCUACCAUGACCUACAAGCCGGCGUCUUACCAAGGGUUCCAGACCAUUCCAGGUUCACAGUGACAGAACCCUGUAUUCUGUUCUGCAGUCUUUUGAGGAACACCGACUGCCUAGUAUCCAUGGCGCCUACCAUGUUUUUCUAUCACAAUACGACUUCUCCAUUGUGUAGAAAGAGGAAUUUCUGUCUCUGUCUCUUGGUGUUCUGAAAUGUCCAUCUCUGUGUGAUCAAAAGGUAUCCAAGAAAAUCUGCAUGCAAAGAGAAGCAUUCCUAAUUUCAGAAGCUCCUACAAGAUUGGGCCAGUUUUCUGGCAGAACAUGGAUGUGAACUCAAUGUCCUCUGGAAAACCAGCUUCACUUCUGUACCAAGAGCCUGUAAUUAUAGCAACCAGGCGGGGAAGAACCAGUUGAAGUGAUGAUUAAGACAUGAAAAAAAAUUAAAGACCCUUUGUUUUUCUGCUCAUUAUGCCUUUUUAUGAUGACUAUACAAAAAAGUGCUGUUCAGACAAUUAGCUUAAUUAACAGAUUAUAUAAAUUAAUGGUUUUCUAGUUUCCUUCCAGGCCCCAA
rnacentral:lncRNA from 12 species